GCCAAGGUGGCGGAGUGGACAAUCGCACCUCUCUGUAAAAGAGGCGGUCGAAAGGCCUACCUAGGUUCGAAUCCUAGCCUUGGCA
rnacentral:tRNA from 2 species